AGUGGGAUAGCUGGGUCAAAUGGUGUUCCAUUCCAAGUUUUAUAGGGAAUCUCCAGGCUGCUUUCCAUAGUGGUUGCACCAAUUUUCAGUCCCACCAGCAGAU
rnacentral:pre_miRNA from 1 species